CCUGUGAUAUUGUGUUGUGCCUCGUAGCCUAGCAUCACACAUGACCUAAGUUACACAAGGUGUUCACGGUGUGUCAAGUUAAGUUUUCACUUCAGCAAAGCACUCAUGGUUAGCUGUUCAGGAUCGUUUUUGCUGUUAUUUUGAUAUCGAAACGUUGCAUGUUUAAUUCAAAUAUCUCAAAUGCAGCAUCUGUUUAUGAAACAGGAAGAAUGUCUGAAUGUUUACAAAGCAGGGGGAAUGUGAGCAUCCUCAGAGCUCCAGACAAAGCUGCAGAAACCAAUAAUUAACAUGUUGCUGUGGAAACUUAUUGACCAACAUGAGACAAAACAAAAUGCAAGCAAAGUCCUCAGAGUCAUGGGAAGAUGUGGUUAAAAAAUACACAUAGUGUGUGUUUUUAUUUGUUUUAAUUAGGUUAUAUAAUCUGACAGUCACGUGAUCUAACACAGUGUCUUGAUAAAAGAAAGGUUUUUGUCUUUCACUCUGCACUGUCUUUACUCUUCCUCAUGAACACACAUUCAGCAGCAGACGGCUUCAUCUGGUGGCAGCGAGGAACUGAAGGAACUCAAACAUGAUGGAGUCUGUGAUCAACCUCCUGAAUACAUUUCACCUUAAAGCUGGUGGAUUGUCAGUGACUCUCAGCCUCUUCAUCAUCUUCCUGGGUCUCCUCUACUGGUAUUCAGUUUACCCCUUUUCUGUACUUUCUCGAUGUGGCAUCAAACAUCCAAAGCCCGUGCCUUUCUUUGGAAACAUAUUCAUCUUUCGCCAGGGGUUUUUUGAACCUAUGAAUGAACUGAUAAAGACACACGGGAGAGUCUGUGGGUAUUAUUUGGGCCGGACACCGGUGGUUGUGAUCGCAGACCCGGAUAUGCUCAGACAGGUGAUGGUCAGAGACUUCAGCAGCUUCUCCAACAGAAUGGCUUUUAGCUUCGCCACCAAACCCAUGGCCGACAGUCUGCUCAUGUUGAGGAACGAGCGCUGGAAGACAGUGCGGAGCAUCCUGACCCCGUCGUUCAGUGCUGCCAAGAUGAAAGAGAUGGUCCCUCUGAUCAACACAACCAUCAACACUCUGAUGAACAACCUUGACAUCUACGCUGAGUCAGGAGAGGCCUUCGACAUCAACAAGUGUUUUGGCUGCUUCACCAUGGAUGUCAUCGCCAGUGUGGCAUUUGCGACUCAGGUGGACUCUCAAAACAACCCCGAUGACCCGUUCGUCAGGCACGCACAGAUGUUCUUCACCUUCUCUUUCUUCAGGCCCAUCAUGUUGUUUUUCCUUGCCUUCCCGUUCAUCGCCGCUCCUCUGGCAGCACUCAUCCCAAUCAAACGACGAGACAAGAUGAACAAGUUCUUCAUCAACUGCAUUCAGAAGAUCAUCAAGCAGAGAGACGAGCAGCCUCAUGAACAGAGGCGUCGAGACUUCCUCCAGCUGAUGUUGGAUGCACGAACCGACAGGGAGAGAGUGUCUCUGGACCAGUUUGACUCAGCGACUCAUGCCGAGGCGCUCGAUAACAGGAACCAGCGGACACAAGCCUCCGACCAGGACGAGCAAGCCAGCACUCACGAGUCCCCCGGCAGGCAUCAGCAGAGAAAGAUGAUGACGGUUGACGAGAUCGUCGGUCAGGCUUUCGUCUUUUUUCUGGCAGGGUAUGAAUCCAGCAGCAACACGCUGGGUUUCACCUGCUACCUGCUGGCUCUCCACCCUGAAUGUCAGAGCCGGGUUCAGAAGGAGGUGGAUGAUUUGUUCACCAGACAUGACUCACCAGAUUACAAUAAUGUCCAGGAGCUGAAGUAUUUAGAUAUGGUCAUAAGUGAAGCGUUGCGUCUCUACCCUCCUGGGUUCAGGUUUGCGAGAGAGAUCGACCACGACUGUGUGGUGAACGGCCAGUUCCUCCCCAAAGAAGCAACAAUAGAGAUCCCAGCUGGCUUCCUUCACUACGACCCCGAGCACUGGUCGGAGCCAGAGAAGUUCAUCCCUGAGAGGUUCACUCCAGAGGCCAAGGCCAGCCGACAUCCAUUCGUCUACCUCCCGUUUGGGGCCGGUCCUCGUAACUGUGUUGCGAUGAGGAUGGCUCAGCUGGAGAUCAAAAUGGCUCUGGUGCGUCUGUUCCACAGGUUCAACAUCGUGGCCUGCUCAGAGACCAAGGUUCCUCUGGAGCUGAAGUCUUCCAACAAUCUCGGACCAAAGAAUGGCAUUUUUGUGAAACUUCAAAGAAGAGACCAAGUGAAUCCUGCAUCAGAAAAUUAAGAAUGAAAUACGGUGGAGGAAUGUUCUUGACCUUCUUAAUCCCUGCAUAUGGUUUCUGUAUGAGUAGCUGCUGUUUGUUGCAUUCAUUUUAAUAUUCCCUCUAUGACUGAUGGUUAAUAAACUGAUUAUGAAUCAUACAGUCACAGAUAUUGACAGCAGAGGCUGACAUCAGCUCAUGUUAUUAGAGGACGGACCUCUGUCACCUGUGUUACAAUGUGUUGCUGAUUUAAUUCAAAUUUACUGAAAACGUUUUGCACUCACCUGAAAGCUGCUAUGUUAGAGGUUUGUGGAAAGGACAGGAAAUCCACUUUGUAAUUUUAAUCCAGAUUACUUGAAUCUGUUGAUCAAAUGUGUCAGAAUAAUGAAUAAAGUGAAAGCUUCUUAUCACUUUUCUUUUGAUGAUGUGAUUUAUAAGUUUGAAGUUGAACAUGUAUUUGAUCCUGUGUGUGGGAGUUGCAGAGGACUGAUUGUAUCUGUUGGACGUUCAGAACUGGUUGUUUUGUGGUGAAUUAAAAAAAACAUACCUUGA